UUGGAGCCUGCUCUCCCCUGGCCGGCAGGGCUGGCCCCAAUGUGACUUUGCAGGGUUUGUCUCUCUCAGGUUUCACCUGCAGCCUCUCGAGCUCUUCACACCCCGGGGGGUGUCUGUGCUGGCCACAGCUUCCCGCCCCACAGGCUGUGGCUGGGCUCUGCAGCGGGGCAGGAGCUGAGCCCUGUGGGGAGCGCGGGGGGGGCUGAGACAAUGAGAACCUCAUGAGACUUUCAGUGGGGAUUUGGUCCACAUGCAAAGUGCCUCUCUCCCCGCAGGGCACAGCCCAGUCCUAGCGGCCAGUGGGUCGUGGGGCCAAACUAGAGCUCCGCUCCGGAGGCAGGGUGGUUCAGAGACUAACAUCCCCUCCCAAUUUCAAGAUGUUCUGUUUGAUGCACCCGGGAGGCCACUUAAACGCUGUCUGUGGGUGUUUCCCACUGACCACAGCUGAGACAAUAGGAAGAAUCAUCAGACUUUUGGUGGUGUCUGAAUUCACCUACAAAGUGCAUCUCUCCCAGCAAUGACACAGCCCAGUCCUAGCUGCCGACAGGCCGACGUGAGGCCGAAAUAGAGCUCAACUCAGCUGAGGAGGCAGGGGGGUUUGAAGGUGGCGGCCCCUUCUGGGUGGGGAAAUUCAUCAUUUCAGCAAUGCCCAGGUUUGGUGCCUUUCUCCCUCUCAUCCUCUUCAUCUUCCCUGGGGCUUCCUCCCAGUGUCAAACGUACAUGGCCAAUGAAUGCAAGAAGCACACGGCCUUUGUGCCUGGUCACAGCCUCGUUGGUGAGGGUAUUGACGUGACCACGAUGGAAAGGAAGGGAGCCUACCUGGUGGACAGCAGCACCUGGCAGCACCCAGACAACACCUGCACCCUGUGCCGGAACAAACUUCAGGGCGGGCAG